GCGUCCUCGCUCGACCCAGCUACCUUCCCUACAGUCGGCGGAGAGGAAGUAAAAAAGCCAAAAAUAGUCCUUUCUGCGCUGCUAGGGCUCUGGCUCCUGCGCUGCUGGCUUCGCUGGAGCUGUGUGCCCACAAUCACAGGGCUGUUUGCUGAGCUGCUUUCAACAAGCAGCUCGAUAAACUAGUUUUGCAAGUGUCAUUGCAGCAAGCGUUAGUCAGUUGAGAAAGUGCAGUGGCUUCCUUACGGCACGGCACAGCACGCCGUGGAAGGCCCAGCUUCAGAGGGGCCUCAGCUUGGCCCCUCUCUGCAGGCACGGUCACUUUCUCUUCACAGAAGAGGAGUUCAGGAAAUGAGAAUUCCCAGAGACAGACUACAGACAUUGCAAAAGUUGAUGGACGGAGCAGACAACAGGAUUAGGCCUGCUCAGCCCUGCUGCUGCCUUAGGUCACUGCUCAGGUGGGUAGUAACUAUUACCUUUUAUUGUCUCAGGUUUGAAUCAGUGUUUCUCUGAAAAGGUGGAAUAUUUAAAGUUCUGUUAGAUCCUUGUGUCU
rnacentral:lncRNA from 1 species